CAAAAUCUGGCCUGGGUCAACCUCAGGGAGAUAACUGUCUUCAUAGCUCACCUCAUUGGGACUCAGAAGCUAUUGCAGUGGAGAAGAUGGAGUUUAUAUCCAAAUUGGUAUCAUACUGCAAUAAGAAGAAUGGAGAAGCAGAGGAGCAAAGGAGGAACCAACAUAAAGGCUUUGGAUGACCACCCUAAGAAGAGAAACUGAGCUUUUGUGUCUCUGUGUGAGGGAUUGAAGUCACCUUUUCCCUGGAGGCUUUGGUUGAACACUCUGAGAGGAGAAACUUGGCUUUUGGACUUUGUCUCUCUGGUUCUGAGGAGUUGGAGUUGACCAGGGGUCUUUUUGGUCUCUGGGUCUCUGACUGGGGGGACACACAUUUGCUCUCUGGAAUUUGAAGUUGACUGAGAGACUUUUGUGAAGCUGACUUGGUUACUUGAAGUUCUCUGACUUUGGACAGUUGAAAUUGACAAGAAGGAGAAAUCUAACUAAAGAAGAAGAAAGAAGAUCUUGAAAAGCCAUUGUCCUCUGUCACCCUGUCUAAUAGUCACAGUUUGUGACUGGACUACUUUCUCAAUUUUACCUCAGUUAGACUAGGGACUUCCUCAUCCCCCUUAACUCAGUUUCCCAUCCUGUUAUCCCAAUAAACCCCUUACCUGAGAA
rnacentral:lncRNA from 1 species